UUCCGGAAUGAGUAAUUUGGGGAGAGAAAAAAGGUAUAACGGGAGACAUAGCCACCGUCGAUCGGGCGAUCCUGGGGCCAGGAUAUAUCAUUGGGCGAGAGAUAUAUCCGUUCGUCCGCUCAUCCUUAGGAGUAAUUCGGGACCGUUCGAUUUUCUACCCGAAUUCUUAUUGUUCCUAACGCGGAUAAGUCGAGAUCGGUUUCUUCUCUUUUCUUUUAGCUGAAGAGAUUGUUCAGUCGAAGAACUUUUCUCUGGCUCAAGAACAAUCAAUCGCCACCAUCAACAACAGUUGAUCACUGCAAUUCGAAAAAAUCCACAAUUGACGCAGAUUUCCUUUCCGAACCCAAAUUUUGGGUUUAAUUCUUUUCGGAUUAAUGAUUGACUCAGGUUAAAGGUCACGAACUGGGGAAGGAUUCUCUCACUAUUGAAUUGACGAGAGAUUUUGUCUUAACAAAGAUUAAAUUUGAACAUUCUUUCCGGGUGCUGUCUAAUCAAGAUUCCGUUGUUGUGAACAGAUAAGAGGUUCUUUGAUCCACCUAAUUCUGUAUUUGUUUAGGUUUCUUCGUAGCUUGACAUCCCUGUGAACAUUACUUAUCUUACCACCAGUUUCAUUCAGAAACAACUUCUACAAAGGAAAAUUGAAGAUUAGCUAGAGAGACUAUAUGUAAUAGACUUCUUUUUUGUAUUUGAGAAAAAUUCCACGUUUGUUGAUUACUAACUGGAACUGCCACUGGAUAAGAUUCCCACAAAUUGUUGUGGUUCAAGAUUCACUAUUUUUGCUGAUGAGCAGAAACUGAAACCUAGGAUUUUAUCUAAUGUUUUUUUUUCUUUCCGUUUUUUCUCUGAUUUGUUUUGCAGACUUUUUCUUUUUGUUUAUUGUUUAAUCUUAUUCACAUCAAGGGUUCAUAUUAUUCGCCAUCUAACCCUGAAUCUAACCCCGGUUUUUUUUUUUUUGGUUUGAUUUCCCCUCACCACCCUCUUAUCUUAUUCGUCGAAUUACGAGACGUUGUAAUGAUUAGUGUCAAGCAUGUCUUCUUCUUCCUUUUACAAGCCAGCUAUCGAUUGAAAAAAAAGAGCACAGUACUGGUGUGUUCUUUUAGGGACAAACAGGAAGGGAUAUUAUAUUCGUCCGUCCGUAUCUGCUUCUUAAUGCGGACGUCCAUUCCUUUCUCAGCUGAUAUAUUUGUGUUUCUAAGGAAUAAUGUUCUGAAAGAAGGUAUGCAUGUUUUGUCAGUCUUUCUUUCUUUAAGUUAUUAAGGUUGGAUUCACAGAUAAUCAUGUUGUUAUCUCCUUCGAAAAGCAGUUAAAGUUAUUUUUAUAGGUGGUUUCUACCAUUGGCGUUGCAAUUCUCUUGCUAUACUAAGAUCGACUAUCAACUGGUAUUGCAGUAAUUGACUUCUAACUGAUUGAUAUUGUGAGAAUGGAAGAUAAACUCUAUAGCAACAGAACAAAGUAUGCAUUUAGUUUAGGGCAUCCUAAUGUUUUGAAGAGUAAACUCUAUUGCUGGUGAUGAACGAUGAGUGCCACUGGUGGAGAAAUUGGCGGGUGCCGUAAUUUAAACGGACAGGAAAUAGUUGGCGUUGAUGGCUGUAACAGACAUGAAGAAGAUUUAGUAAGGAUGAAAUGGGUAUUGGCUUGAUUUUCUAUGUGGCUGUUUAAUCGAGUCAGGUGGGAUUGAUGAGUUGAAUCUGCAAUGGGUUCAUGCUGAGAAAUGGAAGAAAGAUGGCAGCGACAGUUGGUGUAAGUGGUGUUCAGAUGGUCCAGUAGUGGUCUUGAUGCCGAGAACUGCAAUGGGUCAGUUGAAGGUAUUGAUUCGAUGAGAAAGAGGAUAUGAGCUAUCACGUUAAAGGUAAGUGCAAUCGGGAUAUUGAGAUACAUGAUUGAAAGACUGGCAUAGUUGUUGAUAGGUAGUUCUGUUUGUUCAUUGUUAAGUUGAAUUCACUUUUAUAUGUUUAGUUCCGUUGCCUAUUCAACUAGAAACGGAGUACCCACAGUAGGUAAUUUUGGGAAAAUUACAUGGUUUUCUAAUAGCCUGAAUCUUUGAAUAUUGCUACACUACUACACAUGUUGUAUAUCACCUAAUGUUUUGUCGUCAAAAUUUAGGAACAUAUAAACUCUAUCUUCUGGCUGUGAAGUGUUAUAGAAUAAUAUUGUUUUCCAAAUGGUAGUCAGCUGUAUCAACGCUAAACCAGUUUAAGUUAAGAAGUAAAGAUGCUGCCAACUACAUUACUAUUUGCAACACCAUUGUAAAUUUUAGCUAGAUCGCUUAAUAAUGUAACACGAAAAAGCAAAAAACUGCGAAUUACGAUUUCGGUGUGGGAUCAGUCGACAGAAAGCUAAUAUAGGGUUGGUGAAUAUAUGGAAAGAGGAGUUUUUUGGAGGAAGUAAUGCAGAUAGCUAGAGCUUGGUGCGAAGGUAAAUUUUGUUUUAACUUUUCUUGGUUUUUUGCUUCAAUCUUCUCAUGCUAAGAGGAUAAUAUAAAGGUUUAACCAUGAUUUAGCUAAUUACAAAACCGAAUCAUGUCAUGUUGUGUACUGUACGAGGGCUGUACUUUACUGCACUCGAUUUAGUGGGGCUGUUUUCUAUUUCUCGAAGAAGAUUUUUCAACCUCACAAGUCGUACUACCCUGGGUCCAGUUAUAAUGUAUGGAUCCGAUAUUAGAGCUACCGUUGUUCAGGUUAUUUGACAGAAGCUUUUAAAGACCGCGGCAAAAUUAAGAAGCAUUCCUGUAAAUGUAAGCGCCUUACAAUAGACACAAUAUUUCUCAGGAAUCUUAAUUCAAACUACUGCCCAUUGCCAACAACUAGAAAAAGUACAGAGCUGCACAGGGAAUUACGCUGGCAUGGUGUAGUAUUGAAGUUAGCGAGAUUGAUACAUUUAUUAGAAAAAGAGGUGACUGUAUAUUUAGGCGACGUUAACCAUACUGAUAACAACUAUUUAGUAUUAUGAAUAUAAGUUAGUUAUCAUGUGCAUCUAUAAUGAAAUUUUUAUUUUUGUUUAUAUACAGUGAUGAUUCAAUGCAUCUUAAUUCGAUAAGCUCAAAUAAAACUGAGAAAGCUGUAAUUCCUAUCUUGUAAGAGGCUUCGGUAUUAUUGAUGUUGCAGCCUUUAAAAAAGUGUGCCUCAGAGUUUUUUCAUGUAAGAAAUUCCGUAGCUAUGAUUAAAGGACCAUGGUGGAAUGUACCCACUGGGCCAAGAGAUGGGCAAGUAUCGACUAUUAGGAACCCGCGGUAUUGAGUUUGCUAAUGAUGCAGUUGCCAAGAGGCGCUUGAAUAAGAACAAUAAUGGAGGUUAAAAAAACGGAAUUUCAUUGUCUAUUGUCCUAAUCCUAACACUAACAUCUGGAAUUGAUGUGAGAGAAGAAAGAAUAUGAUUUGUCUUGAUUGUAGGCAUUGGUCGACA